GGUGAGCUGGGAACCUACCUUUGUGUGAACUCAGUCCACACUGCAAUCCUUGUCAAUCCACAUCCAGAGAGGAAGACUUUGCCAUCUUUUGUCUUUGGAAGCCCAACAGGAGGGGCGAAGCAGGACGCCUGAGGAGGUGCUGCCUCUCCGGCUCUGCUGAGAGCCCCCCAACCUACCUGAGGCUGGAUCUGAACCUGACUAGAGCCUAAUAAUGAAGCCAACAUGGAAACCAGGAGAAGAGGCGAAAAAUCAGAAAAAGUUCCAGGAUGAUACGGAUUUUGAGCUGGGCCUUGAAGAAUGGGUUGGAUUCCAGUAGAAGAAAGUGGGGAAAACAUUUUAGGGGGAAGAAACAGGUGAGCAAAAGCCUGGGUGUGAUGGAGAGUGAAAUGUGAUUGAGGGCCCGCUGAGGACAGGCACACAGGUCAGAGCAGGCUGCCGUGGUCGUAUGUGUGCAGCUAAGGAAUUUCUACUUUUCAAGCCUCCUGACCCCCAGCAAUAUAUCAGGGACUGAGAUGUCUGAAGAGGGUGAUGCUAAGUGCAGAGGGACAGGGCACCACAGCUGGAAAUUUAGGCUCUUGAUGUCUAAGAAGAAGGGCUUUGGAAGAGGCAGCAGGGUCUGUCCCAAGUCCUCCUGCUCACCCACUGAGUCCUACAGAUGCCACUUUGCUCAGUUUCCAGAGGGGACCCUCUGUUUCAGAUCCAGGCAUGGGGUCUGCUAUCAUCUUAUCUUGAAGUCAACAGCCCCGGGUUUGCAUUCAGCCCUCUGCU